CCUCGACACAGGUGCCCAUGUAAGCUGCCGUGAAUUAGGGUGAUUAGUGACUGCUUAUCUGCACCUGGAGUGGUGCUGGAGUCUCGCUUUCUGAAAAGGAGCCUCAGGUCUUCCAGAGGUUCUCAAGAAUAGCUUUCUUCCUAGUCCUGUGAAAAUUCUAGUGACCUUCUCCCAGUGAUCCCUGUAACACCUACUGCAGUCACGGUGGUGGAGAAAGAAAGUUGGAUUCACCUUGCUAGGAUAAACCCAGCCCCACAUGAACUGUGUGAAGACAAAGAUCACCCAGAGAAGAAAGCAGCUCCUCUCCUCCUCCUCCUCAAAAAAGUUUUUUCCUUCAGCACCGCCAGAGAGCCACAACUCCCCAAGGUAGUUGGAGAGCACAUAACCCCCAGGAGGAAAGGCCUACAGCCCCUUUCAGCAGAAGUAGCUAUAGGAAGACAGAGAUCGCUUCUCGGCCUUUUGGCUAAGAUCAAGUGUGGAAGACAGAGAUCUCUGCUCCCUCAGCAGCUCAUGAAGAACUAGAUUUGUGUCUGUCAGGGGGAAAUGAGGCAGGAGACCAGGACGUGGCAGAGCUGGCUGGGGAAGUCGGUGUGACCUGUUAAAGGGACUGCAAAGUCCCAGGAAUGCGCAGAACGGCUCCCAAAGCCCUGUGUGGGGACUUCUCUCGAGAACUCAAGAGGGUUUGGGAUGGGACAGCCCAGACCCGAGGUAGCCUGAGGAGUGGGAGAGUCAAAGGCUG
rnacentral:lncRNA from 1 species